CCUACGGGAGGCAGCAGUGAGGAAUAUUGGUCAAUGGAGGCAACUCUGAACCAGCCAUGCCGCGUGAAGGAUGACGGCCCUAUGGGUUGUAAACUUCUUUUAUAUGGGAAGAAACUUAUCUACGUGUAGAUAACUGACGGUACCAU
rnacentral:rRNA from 1 species